UGUUUGCACUCUGGAAGUGGGAACAAUGCUGCAGGAGCCUGCAGGCAGCGACUCGGUUCGUCCGACCAACCUUUUCUCUCUGUCGGGGAGCGCUGCAUAAAGUUGCUACUGUUCCCCUGCAGUCCCUGUAAAUGCUUAGCCAUGAUUAUCACCUACACAUGAAACCGGAAGGAUAUCCCAAUUGGGCAUCAGAUCUUUCUGGAGCAGUGCCCCCUCUCCGGAAUUAAACAUGGACACUCUUUGCAGUUUCAAGAAAAGGUAUUUCUCUGUCUGAUCAUCUGGAAAUGCAGAAUUGAAUGUGGGACCACUGAACACAUACAUUUCCUGAAGAACUAGAUCCUCACAUCAAUGUAUCAAAAUUGAAAAGGAGUCAAGACAUUGUUCUUCUUUGGUAGACAUUAAGCCUCCUCCAACUUGAUACUUUAUUCUGCAAGUCAUUUGAGCACCUGAUGCAUCUGGAGGUCAUGAGUGUAUUGCGGUUUUAAAUCAUAUCUGGGAAAUUAUUUAAACAAACUGUGGCUAAGCAAAGUGGAAAGCAGCUAGAACAUUAAUUAGAUUCCAGUGCUACAAGAACAUUUAAAAUGGGAGUAUAUCUCAUUGAACUUGAUUGCGCUUACAUCUGAAUAUUUACACGUAGGGAUACUUUAUUGUAAUUGCAACGAGUGAGUGAUUGCUAUUGAGUCAGAUACAAUAACUAAUUUUACACCUAUAGUUUCAAAGUUGUCUAAUAGAACAAGCUACGUUUAGUGGUAUUUGAACAUUUUCCAUGUUAAUUUUUCAAAUAUCAUCUACAGUUUAUAAUAAGGAAGUAAGACUUGUCUAGCACUGAAUCACUCUCAGAAUCUGGUGGAUGAUAAAGAGGCAUGGAAGAAUUUGCAGAGGAAAGAACAUUUGAUGGUUAAAGCUUUCUUUCAUCAAAGUCUGCAUGAACUUGAAAAUCUGAGUUAGUGUUCUCUAAUGUGUAGUGCAAUUUCAAAAUUCAGGAUUGAGAGGUCUAUCAUAUCUAACAUAUCUCAAGGUUUCCAGGAUGGAGAAGAGGAUUAUGCACAGUCUUUCUUAACCUUAGCAAUUUUAAGAUGUGUGAACUUCAACUCCCAGAAUUCCCUAGUCAGCUAGGGACUUCUGGGAAUUGAAGUCCACACACCUUAAAGUUGUCAAGGUUGAGAAACAAUGCUCUAUGAGUUCAUUUGGAAAGCAAUAAUCUGUGCUUUGCUAUCAGCAGAAAAGCUUCUGAAGAACUCAGUCCUGUGUUGUCAAAUGUACUAUGUUGCCCACCUUUCAGAAUGUGUCUGAUGUGAGAAUAUAAAUAUAACGAACUGUUAAUGAUCUACAUGCAAAAACUUUGGGAGAAUCUUGAUAACUUGUCUCUUAUCUGGUUUGCUAGUCUUUGGAACUUCUUGGGAAAGUGAAGAGAAGAACAUUCUGUUAAGUAAUUCUGUCAUUGCCUAUAUCAGUGGUUCUCAACCUGUGGUUCGGGACCCCAUUUGGAGUCGAACGACCAUUUCACAGGGGUCGCCAAACAACGCAGUCCGCCAUUUUUUCCCCCUUUU